rnacentral:rRNA from 1 species
UACGGGGGGGGCAAGCGUUGUUCGGAAUUACUGGGCGUAAAGGGCUCGUAGGCGGCCAACUAAGUCAGACGUGAAAUCCCUCGGCUCAACCGGGGAACUGCGUGUGAGACUGGAUGGCUUGAGUUUGGGAGAGGAAUGCGGAAUUCCAGGUGUAGCGGUGAAAUGCGUAGAUAUCUGGAGGAACACCGGUGGCGAAGGCGGCAUUCUGGACCAACACUGACGCUGAGGAGCGAAAGCCAGGGGAGCAAACGGG